rnacentral:rRNA from 1 species
GACGAACGCUGGCGGCGUGCUUAACACAUGCAAGUCGAACGGUAAGGCCCUUCGGGGUACACGAGUGGCGAACGGGUGAGUAACACGUGGGUGAUCUGCCCUGCACUUCGGGAUAAGCCUGGGAAACUGGGUCUAAUACCGGAUGGGCCGACUGCCGGCAUGGGUGGUGUGGGAAGGCUUUUGCGGUGUGGGAUGGGCCCGCGGCCUAUCAGCUUGUUGGUGGGGUGAUGGCCUACCAAGGCGACGACGGGUAGCCGGCCUGAGAGGGUGACCGGCCACACUGGGACUGAGAUACGGCCCAGACUCCUACGGGAGGCAGCAGUGGGGAAUAUUGCACAAUGGGCGCAAGCCUGAUGCAGCGACGCCGCGUGAGGGAUGACGGCCUUCGGGUUGUAAACCUCUUUCAGCACCGACGAAGCGCAAGUGACGGUAGGUGCAGAAGAAGGACCGGCCAACUACGUGCCAGCCGCCGCGGUAA